rnacentral:tRNA from 1 species
GCCCCGAUACUCCAACCGGCAGAGAGGGCGGCCUCAAAAGUCGCAAAGUGUGGGUUCGAAUCCCACUCGGGGCA